UAUGGGUUGACCCAAAAGUUCAUUUGGGUUUUUUGUAACAUCUUAUGGAGAAACCCGAAUGAACUUUUUGGCCCACCCA
rnacentral:miRNA from 1 species